UACGGAGGAUCCAAGCGUUAUCCGGAUUUAUUGGGUUUAAAGGGUGCGUAGGCGGCCUGUUAAGUCAGGGGUGAAAGGCGGUAGCUUAACUAUCGGAGUGCCCUUGAUACUGACGGGCUUGAAUGCAGCUGAGGUAGGCGGAAUGUGACAAGUAGCGGUGAAAUGCAUAGAUAUGUCACAGAACACCGAUUGCGAAGGCAGCUUACUAAAGUGUCACUGACGCUGAGGCACGAAAGUGCGGGGAUCAAACAGG
rnacentral:rRNA from 1 species